rnacentral:tRNA from 1 species
GCUAAUUUGACAGAUUUAAGUGUAAUAAAUUUAGAAUUUAUAUAUGUAAUUUUUUUUACAAUUAGUA